rnacentral:rRNA from 1 species
CAGUCGCCGCGGGAAUACGUAGGGUGCAAGCGUUAAUCGGAAUUACUGGGCGUAAAGCGUGCGCAGGCGGUUAUAUAAGACAGAUGUGAAAUCCACGGGCUCAACCUGGGAACUGCAUUUGUGACUGUAUAGCUAGAGUACGGCAGAGGGGGAUGGAAUUCCGCGUGUAGCAGUGAAAUGCGUAGACAUGCGGAGGAACACCGAUGGCGAAGGCAAUCCCCUGGGCCUGUACUGACGCUCAUGCACGAAAGCGUGGGGAGCAAACAGGAUUAGAUACCCCAGUAGUCCCUGUCUCUUAUAC